AGGAGAAUGGAGACUUACUGUGUGACCUUGUAGCUUAGUCGUUAUCUCCUUGUACAGCAUUGUAAUAACGUUGCACAUUUAUUGUGUGUACAUUUUUUUUUUUUUUUUUUUUUUUGUUAGAUGGCUUUGUUAAUGGAGAAAGGAGGCAUUAAAGGAUUUAAACUGUAGAUGGUUUAUUAUUUUCAGUAUUCCCAACCACUGAGUAAAAUAAAUGUAUUAUCUAUCAGCAACUAUAAUCUAAUUGCCUCACUGAAACGUAAAUUAAUAAAUCGAGUUUUCUAAACAGUGUUUUGCAACUUUUAAGGUGCAUAUGUUCCACCCAAGGUAAACUGCAAUUCAACUGAAAGAAUCUCAGUUAUAGCUAGGACAGAAGCAUUUGUGUGUCUUGUAACAGUAGAUGUGAAACUUGAUUCAAUUUAAUUUUACCAGCUGAAGAGAUAUGACCUACGUAACAUCUUAGUCUUUCAGAAAGAAGAUUUCACAGGUGGUGACAGGCUGAGCCAUCGCCUGCUGGUGACUUGCAACUUUACCCUGCUUCUGCAGUGAUGGGCCAUAUUUUGGUAUUGGACUUUGAGUGUGUUCCUGGCCUUGGCCUAAUGCAGGAACAAAAGUGAGAAACAUUGUUUUUUAAAUUCUCGUCAUGAUUUGCAAGACAACAUCCCCUCCCAGGGCAGUUAUUUCUGAGUGUCGUUUGUUACUUUGACAUUAAACAUGUUCAGAUCAUUCUCCUGACUGUGUUCGGCCAAUGCCUUUGUGUGGAUCAGUAUCCUGGCAAUAAGAAUUUAAAACAAAUAGUUAUUUGAUUGUAAGAGAAUGUCCGUUUCAGGACUCAACGUAUUCAAAUAUCAGUGUCUGUUGUUUGUUUCCUUCAUUUAAGUGUCUCUUAAUAUUUUCUUUUUUGAUUCUAGUGAGCCAAAUGGACUCAGUUGUAUGCCUCCAUGUUUCUAUUGAAUUUAACUGCUGUGUAAAUGUAAUUUGUACAUUGUGCGUAUGUUUUAGAAUUUGUUGACCUACCGUGUGAGAGGUCAGUCAAAAUUGAGUCAACAGGCCCUUUGUCAGCCGGAGAUUUCAUUGUUUAUAUGGGCUUGGUAAAGCCCCCAGCCUGCUUCACAGACAAGUACAUUUUAAAUUUUUUGUUUGUAUUGUAUAAAGUCAAAAGCAAAGUCUGCUUCACAGAUGUAUAAAUAUGUAUAUUAUUUUAAAUUCAUUGCCUACUAUGAUUAUUCAUAUUUAUUAGAAACAUACGUUUUGCUUCGGCUGUUUCACAGCCAUGUAUGUAAAGUUAUAAUUUUUUUGUCUGUGGAAACUUCUAAAUUCUGGCUGAUGUUUGUAGGUGCUAACGCCUGCUUCACAAAUAUGUACAUUAAUUAAUAUUUUACUUUCACUGAUUGUCCAGAUAAGUGAGAUAAUUCUUUCUUUUCAGCUAUGUUUGUAAUUUUUUUUUUA